UACGUAGGGUGCAAGGCGUUGUCCGGAAUUAUUUGGGCGUAAAGAGCUCGUAGGCGGUUUGUCGCGUCUGCUGUGAAAACUCGGGGCUUAACCCCGGGCCUGCAGUGGGUACGGGCAGACUAGAGUGCGGUAGGGGGAGACUGGAAUUCCUGGUGUAGCGGUGAAAUGCGCAGAUAUCAGGAGGAACACCGGUGGCGAAGGCGGGUCUCUGGGCCGUAACUGACGCUGAGGAGCGAAAAGCGUGGGGGAGCGAACAGG
rnacentral:rRNA from 1 species